AUGCAGCACCGCAGGUACACCAGGGGGCUCCGCAACGUCGACCUCCACGGAAACCACAAGCUCCACGUCGUUUGCACAAGCAAGGGUCAAGACAUGGACAAGAUGUUGUCCAUGCUUAGGAGAAAGCUCGGCAGACUUCCCGUCAAACUAGUUGGCGUUGAUCUCGAGUACACGCACUACAUGAAGCCACAACGGGCAGCAGUGCUCCAGCUAUGCGUAGAAAAAGAAUGCCUUGUCCACCACAUCUCUACAGCUAAAGACAGGCCAAUGGAACUGGACAAAUUCCUCAUGAAUGAUGAAUACACCUUCGCCAGAUUCGCCAUUGAAGGAGACAAAAACAACCUGAAGCUAGCUGGCUUGGAGAUCAACUCCGACAACUACAUUGAUAUUCAGGUGGAAUGGAGAGACCCAUACAAUAAAAAGAAGUUUGACUCUUUGGCUGUUGUUGCCGGUAGGCUGAUCGACAUUCACUACCAACAUGAAGAACAAAAUUAA
rnacentral:rRNA from 1 species